UACAUCAAGGAAGAUGAAUUCUACCAGCGAACCAUACGGGAACAGAGCAACAAUGAGAGACCGGCCAAGAAGAUCUGCUUUGGACCAUUUUCCUUCAAAGGGUCCAAGGUUCCAAAACGCCAGGCCUAGGCACUGAGAGAAGUGCAGCCCAUGCUGCCAUCUGUGAAAGAGCCCACCAUUCGCCAAAGCAGGAUCACCCAAAGCCACUGAAAGGUUGUUGGCCGGCAGUGCAGCCAUCACCUUUGAUGCAAAGCUGCCACUUGAGCGGCAAGAUGCUCCCUUUCCCCACAAGCUCCGCACUCACUAAGGCAGUGCUGGUCUCACUGCUUCUCACUGGAGCUGUGCAAGGAACAGUGCUGUGAGGCCCAAGCAAUAUCUGCUAAGGCUCUCAAGAGGUGCCUCACAGCUACAUUUCCAAAGCCUGUACAUACUGCAGCCACAUGCUUUUUAAAGUGUUUAUUUUUUCUUCUCUGCUGUUUUUGAAGCUGUGUUUCAGAUGUGUGUGGUUGUUUCAUUUCUCGCCCAUCAAGUGUGCUGUGCUGGGUGCCAGCUUAUUUAAUUCCAGGGAUUCAUGUUCAUCUGCUUGAAUAAAUGCCACACUGAUCUCUAAGAAGCAGUGAUUGGUAACAAGAAAGAAAAAGAAUGAAAAACUUACUGACUGCCAUUACAUUUGUACAUAUGAUGAGUAGGUUGGUCGAAUUUGACUAUAGCCAUCAAAUUCCUGGAUGCCCCACACUGCCUCUCAUCUGGCAAGGUGCAGAUGAAUGGAAAAAAUGACUUUGAGUACAGGUCUCUGACUGCAUAACAUCACAACUGAAUGCCUGAGCUCAUAUUGUGCAACAAGCCUCCACCGAGCUAAAGAUUGUUAACAUACACUCUGUUCUAGGCUUUUAAGGCUGCAGCCAAGGAUAGGUAUUAGAAUGAAAUAAAAACCAGUUUUCAAGCUACAGAUUGACCAUAACUGAGGACAGAACGAGUAAGUAAGGAAAAGCACUGACUUCCAAUUCAAUUUUUUUUGUUGUUUUUUUUUUUUCAGAAGGACACUUGUACCAUGUGUUCCUCAGUAAUGCAAUUUAGGACAUAUCUGAAGCGACUAGGACAGUGUAUGGUGUAAACGUUGUUAAAAUCCACACACCUAAAAUAAAUGCCAGAAUUCCUCUGGCAUUUAGAGAGCAAUUCUGCUCUCUAAAUGCUUAUAACUUGUGCAUGGCUAAUGCAAAUUAGCCAAGAUAAGUGGUUCAUUAAAACAAUUACCUUUAAAUAUACCAUUUGUAUAGUUGAAUACAAUUAAAUAGAAUGAAGUUUGCAUGUUAUGUUUCCACAGGUUUGGGGGGAUGUUUGGAUCACAAAACAUUCAGAAAAGGGAGAAUCAUCGCAUUACAUUGCACUGAGCAACCUUGGUGGUACCUUUCUAGUUUCUCUCGUUUUGGAUGAGAGUUAUAGAAUUCGCCAAGUGCUCCAAUCCGGGUCAGCUGGAAUUUAGCCACACAGUUUGAGUUGUGAGGGUACUCAUCUUUCAUUCCUUUUUAUUGAAGAGAAACAAACAAAACCCCUACUGCUGGCAAGUGACUGACGAGUUUUCAUGAUUCUGGCUGAGUCUCUGUAAUAAAUGGUCCACCUGGCACUGGAUUUAGCAGAACAGUCACUGCUGCUUCGGUGCCUUCCUUCCCUAUAAUUAUGCAUUGUAAAAACAACUGCACUCCUUGCUGUUCCCCAUUUCAUUUUUUAUUUUCAGUAUACUUCUCUGUGCAUUUACAUUUCAUAUGGAAGUCAGUGCUUUCAUACUGCUUGUUCAUCUUUGCACUGAAGUUGAAACACGAGUUCCCAACUAGCCCAGACACACACCUGAUUAUCCAGGGCUAGUGUAGUGAAGGUGUGCUCCUGUCUUUGGCUGCUGUCCUACAAGCAGUUUAGUGUGCUGUUAUUUUAGGGCAUCAUAUGUAUAUUGACUUGUUCACAGUCAGUAAAACCAGUCAGUGCCGCCAUUAAUUUCCUUGAGUAUUACAUUCACACCAAAGGCUUUUAUGUCCUGCCUGCAAAAUCCAAUGAAAAUUGCCCAGGGCCAUAUUUAGCAAAUGCUUUUUGAUGACCUAGUGAGCUAACGAUGCUGAAAUAAUAAGCGUGCUUGAUUUUAGUGCUAGUCAUUUCAUAUAUUCUUGUUCACCACGGUCAGUCAUACAUACACAUUUUGCCCAUGACUUAAAACCUGGAUGAGGGUACUGACACUUGUUACCGUAGAGGGCAUGCAUGGCUUUUUGAACAGCAAGCUUUUCCAAAGUAUCAUUUCAAGAUUGAUUGUGCAAUGGUGUUCCUGUAGUAUGUGAAGGCCUGCAUUAAGUACUGAAAAAGAAAGGGUUAAACCGAUCCUUGUUGUGCAGGGUAUGAUACAUCUGUACUUCAUGUCAGUAGUUCUGUGCACUUGUGUAAAAGCUGCGAUAGUGGAUUGUGCAAUUAGAAGAUGGUUCUGGACACUGUUGUAUCGCCCUAGGUGGAGCCUCAUAGGUGCCUCACCUCCUCUGCAUUUGUCUUGCACGCAAGGCCGUAUAGCAUAAAAGAAAUGCUGUGUGAUUACUUGACUCAAGGACUGUUCUGACUACUUUUAAGACACGUGUAGUAUAACCAUAAAUGCAGUUGUUUAACAGCCCAGAGCAGUAUCUGUGCAUGGAGAGACAUCCCUACAAAUUCCAUGAGGUUGAGCAGCAGUUGCAAAUUCAUCAAAAGUUCUGAAAAAAUUUCAGCCAGGUGUCAGUGGAAAUAGCCUUCAGAAGGAUAAAAAGUGUAUUCAAGGUUACAGUGGAUCGAUUGUGGAGCAGAUGAAGUAGAUAUCACAGCCUUUGCAAAGCUUAAGUGGCUUUGGUAAUGCAAAGCACAAUCUAGCAGUUCUGUCAGUAUAAAAGUACUUGCAGCAAGCCUCAAGACAUUGAGUUGUUCCAUCUGGACUGCAGCAUGAAGCUACCAAGAGCAAGCUUCAUGCUGCAGUGCAGGUCGGUGCCAAUUUUUCUUCCACGACAGUUCCUCCACUUAGUGGGCUUUCACAGAACUGAUUUGCCAUAAAGUGGGUAUAUUUAAAGGUUCCUCUGCUCUUGAACAAUACUGAAGGCUUGCUGCUAUUGUACAUUUCAAGUUUGACAAGUGCAGUUUCCAAAAAUCACAUUUGCCAUUGCAGAAAUGUUUUUCAGCCAGGGUUGUUAGAAGAGCUGAGAGAGAAGCUACCAGUAUAUUCUGUGCAGUCAUUACCAGACUGUGAAAAGGAUUAUCAAACAAUAUUGCAAGUGGAAUAGUUGCACGGCCAUGACAUGUGACCAACAAAGUGCUCACAGGCUUGUGUUUGUCACUGCUGCUCUUUCCACUGGAUGAUGAAUUCUGCUUGAACUAAACUUAUCUUUACACAUGUUUCUGCAUUACUGGCUGUGCUUCAUGCGUCCACGUGUGUACAUAAUGCACUGUGUUUUGGAGCAUCCUUUGGACCGGUGUUAUACUGAUGCAUGAAAAAUUUGCAAGCACACGAGCACACCUAGAACAAGGUGCUUGUGAUGUUGCUUACAAUUUAUAUCUGUCAACAAAUGCAGCAGAGGUUUGACAAUAUAUUGCUUGAAAUGAGUCACCCAUUAUUGGCGAUGUCAACUGUAGCUGGCCACGAGUUAUGUUGUUUGCCUCAUGCAUGCUGCUUGUAACUCUCUGUCCAAGCUAUGUAUCUGCGAACAAGCCAUAUUCGCAGCAACAAGUCCUGGAGUGUGCAUGCUCACAAGUUCAUGUAGGACAGUUCCCAUGGGAGGAUAGAGCCUCACUUGUUUUGGUCGUCGGGUAUUUUUGAAUCCAAAGAUAUUGGUGCUUUAGCAAAGCAAGAUAAACAAUGAAGUGACCUUAAUCACUGGGUAUGUUUUCCACCAUUCAUUAUGGUUGCAUGCUAAGUAUGAUCAAAAGGUGUACAGAAAAGCAGUUUGUGAACAUAAUGUUCAGUUCGGUUGUGUGUAUUUCUUGCUGCUGAGAGUAACAUUGAAAUGGCAGUAAAUAACAUUUUCAGUUUUUGUGGCUUUAACCAAGGGAACAAUACCAAUGUGUGAUGUUUUUAAACAAACAAAAAAAUGCCUUCCUGUUUGUGUGGUGUGCAGUGGUGGCUGUGUUUGUAGUCAGUUACUUUAAUACUGCAUAUACAUAUGCUCAAAGGUCUCUUCUGUCUGCUAUUGUUAGCCUUUCAAGGCAUGCAUACUGUGUGCACAAGCAGAAUGUAAAGGAAGGUGGCCAGCCAUAUUUACCAAAGAACAACUAGGCCAUCAUAGUGUGCCAUGAGUCACUAGUGUUUAGUUCUGGAUUGCCCUGAACUGAGGCCAAGAUUUUGCAUUACUAUGAUAUUUAACAUUCCACGCAUUUUGCUAUCACUAAGAGCAUGAACACGUUUCUGAGCUGCCAUGAGCUGCUUCAUGAUCUGCCUGGUGGCACGUUCAACAGCCACGGAUAGAAAGCAUGAAGAGUGAACUGUACUAGAAAAUCACAAAUAAACAUGUUGUACUACUCGUACCAUAUUCUAUCGGCUUGUACAAUUCAGGCUUUUACUGCAACUCUAACACUGGACAAUAACGUUUGAUCAGUGAUUCUUCCACAGCUAAGUAUUAUUAUUUGGUGAGCAUCUUGUACUUGGUGAAAGGAAUUUCACCAAGUUUUCACCUAGUUUUUCACCAGCCUACGACCUAUACACGACACCCCUAAGAUAUAAAAUCCAGUCAGUCUUGCCAUAAAGAGCUAGCUUAUGUGGCUUUGGUCGGUUCAGAAUGAACCAGAACAUUAUUGCAACCACAGAACUGUUUAGUGACGAAAAGUGGUUACACGCUACCACCACACAAGGGAUAAAAGAGCAAAUAAACUGUUUUUUUUAAGCGAUGAAGUUGCUUCUGAAUUUCACACCAUUCAAGAAUAAGUUAAUGCUCAUUCUUCAAGAGAAUACCUGUUAAUGGAAAUGAGAUGGCAAUGGCUCGUAUAUACUGUUCAUGAGGCAUUUGAGAACAUGAACAUAUAUUAGACAUGCUUCUGCCAAAUUUGGUAGUUUUUUUUUUGCAUUGCUUGUAUCAGAUGGUUCAUGUUUACUUUUAACAUUUCUUGCACAAGAGCAGCCUUUGGCAAAGCUUUUAUAUUCCAAGGCUGCUUGUUAGUAUCCCUUCUAGCAUACAGUGCAUGGCAGGAUGCAAAGCAAACGCAUAGGGCUGAUGCCCAAUGGCCUUUUGCGCAGAAAACCUCCUGGUGCUGUUUCGUGGCCAUCAAUGACUUAUCGUUCACUUUCUAAGGUGUUGCACAUGAUAGCCUGCACCCACUGGACAAAGCUAAACCAUUCUAGCAACAUCACGCGGCUUACAGUGCUGCUGAUUAGGAGCUGUGAUCUCUUUUCUGUUUUGAACACAACACAAAGAAUCUUGUCGUGAUGAGCAAGAUGGGGUAUUGUAAUUAUAGCUUUUUGUGGUCAUCUGCUAAGGCGACUAAAACUACACAUCUUUUUAUUCAGUUCCACUGCCUAUACCAAAAUGGAAAAUGCUACUUUGGAACAGAUAUGCUGGACAAAUGAUAUAGGGAUCGAAAAAGAGAGACAAAUUUUUCUGUACAACAUCCCGAAGCUGUAUUCUCAAAUACCUUGCACACCCUAUACAUUCUCGUCCACUAUUUUCAAUCGUUUACCAUCAGCCAGACAGUUUCACUAACUGUAAAGGAUAGACUUUCCUCAUAAAUGCAAAAGGUUUUGUUUUGUUCUUAUGUGGGCUCAUGAUUCGCACUUACAUUUUCCUGUACACUCACCUUGUGAUAAACUAGUUUUAUAAAAUGUUGUCGAAAACAGCAUUGCGAGUUGCGAUGUCAACACCGAGCAAGAGUAAACUAAAUUUGUCCAGUGUGGCAGCCACUCACAGCUUUUUGCCAACUGAAGACUGAUAUCAUGAUAUUCCAUAAAAUUUUCCAAAGAAUUAUUUGCAAAUUAUUUGCAAAUUAAGACCAGUGACUCAUAGGUUUGCAUCGAGGAUGAUCUGUACGAUGAAAUUAAUCAUUUUACACAAGCAGGAAGCAAGAAAGCCCUUUUCAUUCUCCACUAUAAACAAUCAUUCCACGCUGACAGCAAGUUAGUGACAGUCGCACUUCAGUUUCGAAACGUCACCUCCACUCCAGAGAUUUUUUUUGUGUGCGUGUGUGGAAAACCUUCAUGAUAAAACACGUCCCACCGCACAUAGAAUGAUAUAUGGUCACAGCAUGUUUACAAAGGGGCGCAUGACUUGCACUCUAAGCCAUAACAGCUGUACUUGGUAUUUCUUUCUGCUACACAGUAGCAGUCCUCUAUCUCGUAUGCAUUCCUCGUGUUAUCGCUGUGCACCCAGCACUUCCUGGUCACGAACGGCAUGUGGCUGUCAGCAUAACAUAGCACUCUUGAUAGGAAAGUAGCAAGCCCACAGUUUUUGAGAAAUGAAAUGCAAGCAAGCCAGAUGACUAUUGUUCUGUGGCAGAAAGACUCCAAAUACGACCCAUUAGCUUAGAGUUGAUGCAUCAGUGUUGCCAUCUCGUAGCAAUGUCACUCAACAAGCACACACAGUGGCCUGAAUAUCGUAUGUCGCACACCGAUCCUUCAGCACACCCCUAAUGGAUCAGCCAUCGUUCACGGUUUUGGUCAAAUUGAACUGUCUUGAGAAGCCAGAAGUUUUAUAUUAGUUGAAGGUAAUUUGGUGAUAAUUACGAUACGAAGUUAACAAAGUUCUAAAGUAGAGUUUAAAUUAUUGCAAGUCCAUUGUAUUCAAAGGGUGUUUAAUCUGAACGUCAACUCACUCAACCUAUGCUACAUUCCCUUCCUCGCACAGUGUUCCUUCCAGGAGAAACAUGAAUCACUCAUAACAGAGGGCAUAUUCAGUACACUGACUAGACAUAUGUGAUUUAAACAUUCAAAUGCAAAAGGCACGUGGCUUUUUUCCCUAAGCGCAUGGCUAGUGGUAUGUUUGGUAGGUUUCCAGAAUAGGUUUUAUUAUUCAAACUUGUAUCUUAUUGAAAGUAAAGCAAAAGUGAAAAGUGUGCUUUGCAUACCAGGUAUUCCAUGCAGCAUAUUUAUAUAAAAAUGUGACACCGUCAACAUGUUUGAAUGAUUAUUAACAUAUUGCUGUUGUUACAUGUAACACAUGUACCCUACUAGGCUUGCCUAUCAUCGUUUGCAUGAUAUGCAAAAAUGACCUAUUUAAAAGUUUGUUUCAAUGUGAACCUAGAGAAGUUCAGCAACAAACAAGGACCAUACCAUUUCGUAUCAUCUCUCCAGCAUGCCUCCAUAAAAAAAUUCCACAUUUGGUUUUAGAGCUGAAUGCCACACUGCAGCCCACUUUUAAGAGCAUCGAAACUGCACGCCUCACUAGCAACACUGACUCUGCUUCAGGGCAGUCCAGGACAAAAAAGGAGCUUAGACACACUGUGUAUAAAGCAUGCCAAUGGAAGGCACCUGCCUUUCAUUUUAUGAACUGAGCCUGGAAGAACUGUAUGGUCACUAGGUAGUUGGAUCCCAGUGUUCUCUGCUUCACACGAAAAGGUUGUUGCUCCAGUUAGCAUGUGUGUUGUUACAUUCUAUGUUUAGAUCACUUUUGACUGCGUUAUGCCAGACAAUGCAAUUUGAGUGUUGUAAGCCUACGAGAAAGCUUUCGACGUGUGUAUUGCCUAGUGUCAGGGCCAGGAUUGUGGAGCUGUCUUAGAGUUAAAAUCACUCUACGGUAGUUCUGCCCUUAACAGGUUGAAAAUCUGGAAAUAAUGUUGACAAAAAAAGCAAAAAUUAAACUUCUAAUUGCCAAAAGAAUUCCUUCAGUAAAGGAAUUGUAGUUAAAAGCCUAUGAAAUACAAGGUUGCACUCCACAACCCUGGUUAGCAGAUUGGCAUAGGUCUGCAUGCAUAUACUGCACUGACUACUGGUACGUCUUAGGCCAGGCACGUUUUCGUGUGACACAUGUGCCGCCAUCAGGUCAGUCAUUUUAUUCACAAGCUGUGUGUAGAGAAAAAAAAAAAUCCCUAUUUGGAACACUGAUGGUGCUGCAUUGCACAGGUAGCUACGGCUACUUAAAGGGCCCCUUACCAGGUUUGAGGACUGCAAAUUAACAAGCAAUGUGCAUAAAUCAGGUAGUGGGCAGUCGUGUUCGGAAAGUAUGAAAUGGCUCUGUGGCAUGGAAAAACAUAAAAUGUUCGAACAGGAAAGCGUGCACCCAUCUUCUCUAGAACGCUGCGCAUUUAGUCAGAGUCUGUCAAGUCCAUGCAUUGCUUGGAAUUAGCUGACCACACGAUGAGACUUUGGUUUAUCAGCCAAUGUGGAGCACACAACACCGCCACUGCAAAUGCACUGUGAAGCAAAAUAGGCGGGGAACAAGAAGGAGGCAGGGCUCAUCACUGAACUCAUACUCUCUCAACUCUAGCACAGGGAACGAACACAGAGCCGAGGCACAAUGGGAGAGUGUCUCCCUCCUACUGCUGGCAUGGUGCAAAAUAGUUUAAUUUUUUCUGGCAAAACUCUUCCUAGACAGGGCCUUACAAUUUACAGUGUGUAACCAAAAUUUGCAAUGUGGCAUGGUGAGGAGCCCUUUAAGAACCUCUCUCCCUGUGUGCGGGCACACGUGCCAUCAUGUGGUCUGGGGUUUGUGUUGUCCACAUAGAUCUGUGUUGUCUUCUACACUCAAGUUUUACUGUUGCAAAGGGCAAUCCCAAGAUCACCCCAAUGCUAGACUUACCACCAACUGCCCCUUGCCAGUUCAUAAUGAACAUGAUUAGCUUCUCAAACUGCAGUGCGGCAGUUUGGUGUCGCUGCGGGGCAGCUCAUUAGUGCAGGGUUGUGUUGUUGCUGCCCAAAAUUGGCUAGUCCACUGCUUGCACAGCCUUCUAAAACAUUGCACGGUAUGUUCCUGUCAUGGGCACAUAUGUCUAUUUUCUGUAUUCCACAAAAAGUGACAAAACAGUGUGUGAAAUAAAAGCUGGCUUUUAUAUGCACACUUUA